AUGAUGUCUGAACAUCCCAGUCCAUCCCAGUCCAUUCCCACACAUCCCAAUCCAUCCCUGUCCAUCCCUGAAUAUCCCAGUCCAUCUCUAUCCAUCCCAGUCUAUUCCACCCCAUCCCAGUCCACCCUCCUGCCUCUCCAUGGCAUCGCUCCAGCAUCAGGACAUCCCACAAUUCCAGGGAUCCCCCUGGAACUCAGGACAUUCCACAAUCCCAGGAUUUCCCUGGAACUCAGGACAUCCCAAGAGCUGCCCCCGCUGUGGUUUUUGGUGGAGCUGCAUCCCAAAUCUCCCAGAUCUCACAAAUUCCAGCUGCUCCUCCCAGGGAGCAUCUCAGAUCCCCCGGCAGGGCACGGGAGGUGCAAGCAGGGAAUUGUUGCUGCCCGGAUUUUAGGAAUGCGUGGUGCAGGCUGCGUGUGCCACGCUGGGGGUGCCAGCAGUGUCCCCUCAGUGUCCCCUCAGUGUCCCCGCAGUGCCACUCACGUUGCUGAUCUGAUCCUGAGUCUUCCUGAUCCUCUGCAGCUCGGGGGUGUCGGCCACCACGCUGAAACCUUUGCCCUUGUUCUUCUCAAACUCCUCCUUGUAGCGGAUCUGGGGUGGGAAAAUGGGAUUGGGACAGUUAAAAAAACCAAAAAACAAUGGGAUUGGAGCAGAAUUAGAAAAAUAGAAAAUGGAUUUGAGCACAGUUUAAAAAAAACGGGAUUUGAACAGUUUUUAAAAAACAGGAUUUGAACAGAAUUAAAAAAAAAACCAAAACAAACCUGGAUUUGAACACAGUUUUAACCAAAAACUGGAUUUGAACAGUUUUUAAAAAACUGGAUUUGAAUAGAAUUAAAAAAAAAAAACCAAAAUGGAUUUGAACAUAGUUUUAACCAAAAACGGGAUUUGAACAGUUUUUAACAAACAGGAUUGGAACAGAAUUAAAAACAAACAAGCAAACAAACCUGGAUUUGAACACAGUUUUAACCAAAAAUGGAUUUGAACAGUUUUUAAAAAACAGGAUUUGAACAGAAUUAAAAAAAAAAAAAAAGAUUUGAGCACAGUUUUAACCAAAAAUGGGAUUUGAACAGUUUUUAACAAACAGGAUUGGAACAGAAUUAAAAAAAAAA
rnacentral:lncRNA from 12 species